CUCACUGUUGGACUUCAUUGACAUCACCCUGAAAAAAAGUGGAUUUUUGAGGAGCUUGAGAAGAAGAGCAUGAGAAGUGCUGAAUUACACCGUGUUGUUGCAGAUGAGCGUCACCUAACCACAGCAGUCCUUGAAGAAGAAAGAUGGUCUGAUCGAACUGCUUAUUUAGGAACACAUUGCAAAAUCUGUGGGUGUCCUUUGGGAUCUGAGGACCUCACUCCUACAACUGCAAGGAAUUGAAUUCUUCUAACACUGAGAUGAGGUUGGAAGAAGACUCCAAGAUCCAGAAAGGAACACAGUCCCACCAACACCUGUGUUGUAACCUGGUGAGACCCUGAAACAGAGAAUCCAGCUAAGCCAUGCCCAAAAUAUUCAUCCACAAUGUGUUGUUUUAAGCUUCCAAGUUUCUAGUAAUUUGUUAUAAAGCAAUAGAAAAGUAAUAUAUCCUUUCUGAGGCUCAUCUUCAUUCCAAACGUUCCACAUUUCCUUCUGUUAUCAUUUAUUUUCUGUCUGAAUUACUUCCUUUAGCAAAAAAAUUUUUAAGGCAGUUCUGCUGCACUUGAAAACUCUUAUGACACGUCCUUCUGGCCUUCAUGAUUUCUGCUGAAAAAUAUGCUGUCAUUUGAAUAGUUUUAAUGCUUGCCUUCUACAUCCCACAUGGAAGCAGAAAUGAGAUGUUUUAAAAAGAGAUGUUUCAAAAUCACCAUCUCACUCUAGUUUGUCUACAAAGCCAUCUAUCAAGAACAUUAUAUGA
rnacentral:sRNA from 1 species